GGGGGGGGGGGGGGGGGGGGGGGGGGGGGGGGGGGCGGGGGGGGGGGCGGGGGGGGCGGGCGCUGGCGGGGGGCGAGUGGCGGGCGGGUGAGGAGUGCAGCGGCAUCUACUUUUUCGUGGGGGAUAACGUAGGGAAACUUACGCUAAUACCGCAUACGACCUACGGGUGAAAGCAGGGGAUCUUCGGACCUUGCGCGAUUGAAUGAGCCGAUGUCGGAUUAGCUCGUUGGCGGGGUAAAGGCCCACCAAGGGGACGAUCCGUAGCUGGUCUGAGAGGAUGAUCAGCCACACUGGAACUGAGACACGGUCCAGACUCCUACGGGAGGCAGCAGUGGGGAAUAUUGGACAAUGGGCGCAAGCCUGAUCCAGCCAUACCGCGUGGGUGAAGAAGGCCUUCGGGUUGUAAAGCCCUUUUGUUGGGAAAGAAAAGCAGCAGGUUAAUACCCCGCUGUUCUGACGGUACCCAAAGAAUAAGCACCGGCUAACUUCGUG
rnacentral:rRNA from 1 species